GGUUAAGCGACUAAGCGUACACGGUGGAUGCCCUGGCAGUCAGAGGCGAUGAAGGACGUGCUAAUCUGCGAUAAGCGUCGGUAAGGUGAUAUGAACCGUUAUAACCGGCGAUUUCCGAAUGGGGAAACCCAGUGUGUUUCGACACACUAUCAUUAACUGAAUCCAUAGGUUAAUGAGGCGAACCGGGGGAACUGAAACAUCUAAGUACCCCGAGGAAAAGAAAUCAACCGAGAUUCCCCCAGUAGCGGCGAGCGAACGGGGAGCAGCCCAGAGCCUGAAUCAGUAUGUGUGUUAGUGGAAGCGUCUGGAAAGGCGCGCGAUACAGGGUGACAGCCCCGUACACAAAAAUGCACAUAUUGUGAGCUCGAUGAGUAGGGCGGGACACGUGGUAUCCUGUCUGAAUAUGGGGGGACCAUCCUCCAAGGCUAAAUACUCCUGACUGACCGAUAGUGAACCAGUACCGUGAGGGAAAGGCGAAAAGAACCCCGGCGAGGGGAGUGAAAAAGAACCUGAAACCGUGUACGUACAAGCAGUGGGAGCACGCUUAGGCGUGUGACUGCGUACCUUUUGUAUAAUGGGUCAGCGACUUAUAUUCUGUAGCAAGGUUAACCGAAUAGGGGAGCCGAAGGGAAACCGAGUCUUAACUGGGCGUUAAGUUGCAGGGUAUAGACCCGAAACCCGGUGAUCUAGCCAUGGGCAGGUUGAAGGUUGGGUAACACUAACUGGAGGACCGAACCGACUAAUGUUGAAAAAUUAGCGGAUGACUUGUGGCUGGGGGUGAAAGGCCAAUCAAACCGGGAGAUAGCUGGUUCUCCCCGAAAGCUAUUUAGGUAGCGCCUCGUGAACUCAUCUCCGGGGGUAGAGCACUGUUUCGGCAAGGGGGUCAUCCCGACUUACCAACCCGAUGCAAACUGCGAAUACCGGAGAAUGUUAUCACGGGAGACACACGGCGGGUGCUAACGUCCGUCGUGAAGAGGGAAACAACCCAGACCGCCAGCUAAGGUCCCAAAGUCAUGGUUAAGUGGGAAACGAUGUGGGAAGGCCCAGACAGCCAGGAUGUUGGCUUAGAAGCAGCCAUCAUUUAAAGAAAGCGUAAUAGCUCACUGGUCGAGUCGGCCUGCGCGGAAGAUGUAACGGGGCUAAACCAUGCACCGAAGCUGCGGCAGCGACGCUUAUGCGUUGUUGGGUAGGGGAGCGUUCUGUAAGCCUGUGAAGGUGUGCUGUGAGGCAUGCUGGAGGUAUCAGAAGUGCGAAUGCUGACAUAAGUAACGAUAAAGCGGGUGAAAAGCCCGCUCGCCGGAAGACCAAGGGUUCCUGUCCAACGUUAAUCGGGGCAGGGUGAGUCGACCCCUAAGGCGAGGCCGAAAGGCGUAGUCGAUGGGAAACAGGUUAAUAUUCCUGUACUUGGUGUUACUGCGAAGGGGGGACGGAGAAGGCUAUGUUGGCCGGGCGACGGUUGUCCCGGUUUAAGCGUGUAGGCUGGUUUUCCAGGCAAAUCCGGAAAAUCAAGGCUGAGGCGUGAUGACGAGGCACUACGGUGCUGAAGCAACAAAUGCCCUGCUUCCAGGAAAAGCCUCUAAGCAUCAGGUAACAUCAAAUCGUACCCCAAACCGACACAGGUGGUCAGGUAGAGAAUACCAAGGCGCUUGAGAGAACUCGGGUGAAGGAACUAGGCAAAAUGGUGCCGUAACUUCGGGAGAAGGCACGCUGAUAUGUAGGUGAAGUCCCUUGCGGAUGGAGCUGAAAUCAGUCGAAGAUACCAGCUGGCUGCAACUGUUUAUUAAAAACACAGCACUGUGCAAACACGAAAGUGGACGUAUACGGUGUGACGCCUGCCCGGUGCCGGAAGGUUAAUUGAUGGGGUCAGCGCAAGCGAAGCUCUUGAUCGAAGCCCCGGUAAACGGCGGCCGUAACUAUAACGGUCCUAAGGUAGCGAAAUUCCUUGUCGGGUAAGUUCCGACCUGCACGAAUGGCGUAAUGAUGGCCAGGCUGUCUCCACCCGAGACUCAGUGAAAUUGAACUCGCUGUGAAGAUGCAGUGUACCCGCGGCAAGACGGAAAGACCCCGUGAACCUUUACUAUAGCUUGACACUGAACAUUGAGCCUUGAUGUGUAGGAUAGGUGGGAGGCUUGGAAGUGUGGACGCCAGUCUGCAUGGAGCCGACCUUGAAAUACCACCCUUUAAUGUUUGAUGUUCUAACGUUGACCCGUAAUCCGGGUUGCGGACAGUGUCUGGUGGGUAGUUUGACUGGGGCGGUCUCCUCCUAAAGAGUAACGGAGGAGCACGAAGGUUGGCUAAUCCUGGUCGGACAUCAGGAGGUUAGUGCAAUGGCAUAAGCCAGCUUGACUGCGAGCGUGACGGCGCGAGCAGGUGCGAAAGCAGGUCAUAGUGAUCCGGUGGUUCUGAAUGGAAGGGCCAUCGCUCAACGGAUAAAAGGUACUCCGGGGAUAACAGGCUGAUACCGCCCAAGAGUUCAUAUCGACGGCGGUGUUUGGCACCUCGAUGUCGGCUCAUCACAUCCUGGGGCUGAAGUAGGUCCCAAGGGUAUGGCUGUUCGCCAUUUAAAGUGGUACGCGAGCUGGGUUUAGAACGUCGUGAGACAGUUCGGUCCCUAUCUGCCGUGGGCGCUGGAGAACUGAGGGGGGCUGCUCCUAGUACGAGAGGACCGGAGUGGACGCAUCACUGGUGUUCGGGUUGUCAUGCCAAUGGCACUGCCCGGUAGCUAAAUGCGGAAGAGAUAAGUGCUGAAAGCAUCUAAGCACGAAACUUGCCCCGAGAUGAGUUCUCCCUGACUCCUUGAGAGUCCUGAAGGAACGUUGAAGACGACGACGUUGAUAGGCCGGGUGUGUAAGCGCAGCGAUGCGUUGAGCUAACCGGUACUAAUGAACCGUGAGGCUUAACCUU
rnacentral:rRNA from 1 species